rnacentral:sRNA from 1 species
GUGGGGACCUUCACAAAUAGAGGCAUAAACCUUUCUUUGGUCAGGGAUAUUCGAGUAGCUGCACUUCCCUGCUAGAACAAGCUCCCAAGGUCCAUUUGUUGGAGAACGUAGGGUAGUCAAGCUUCCAAGACUCUAGACACAUCCAAGGGAUGGGAGCUCAAGGAAAGAAAAGACAGAAGCUU